rnacentral:rRNA from 1 species
UCAGCUUGGUAAGGAUACCCCCUGAAUUUAAGCAUAUAAUUAAGGGGAGGAAAAGAAACUAACAAGGAUUCCUUUAGUAACGGCGAGUGAAACAGGAUGAGCUCACCUAUAAUCGGCAAUUUUUUGCCGAGUUGUGGUCUGUAGAAGCAUUGUCGGUCGAGGUUCCGGGCUAAGUCUCUUGGAAAAGAGCAGCUGAGAGGGUGACACUCCCGUUCUUGCCUGGGAUCUGCGAUCAUAGCACAUGCCUUCAACGAGUCGAGUUGCUUGGGAUUGCAGCUCAAAUGCGUGGUAUACUCCAUGUAAAGCUAAAUAUAGGUAGGAAACCGAUAGCGCACAAGUACUGUGAAGGAAAGAUGCAAAGAACUUUGAAAAGAGAGUUAAAGAGUGCUUGAAAUCGGCAAGAGGAAACCCGUUUGCGC